UAAUUUGAAAUAUAAAUUACCUUUUGUAAUAUAUAUUCACCGAAAAAAUUGUUCAAAAAUUGAUGAUAUAAACUAAUGACAACAAAAAGUACUAAUGCAAUUGAUUCACCAGUUCCAAAGCUCAUCUAAAAGAUUGUAAAUUGAUAUUGCGGGAAAAAUGAAAAAAAGUCGGCGUUAUCGAAUCAAAAUAUCGUUAUCGUUGACGAGCUUUAUUAGUUAUUAUGAAAUUAUUUAUACUCAGUAGAUUUUCCAACAACUAAAGAGUGAAACAACCUAGUUAAUAUAAUUUUAGACAUUUUAAGAAGAAACAAUAUAAUAAACACAAAAUAUAUAAAACUCAUUAUGUACAUAAGUACACAGAGAAAUCAUAUUUUUUCCAAACUACCAAAAAUGUAUUUUUUUUAUAAAAUUAGACUUUUCUGUUUUUGCACUGAACCCUUAAUUUAGCCAUAUCACUAAACUAAAGAAUGAAAACUACUUAAUUGUUAUACAUAAUAUUGAUUAAUUAUAGCUCUCCAUAAUUUAUCAAAAAUAGUUACAGGUUAUGAUGAAUCGUCCAAUUAUAAUGCUGAUCAAAUAAAAUGAAUAUUAUGUACAACGUACCUAAUUUCAAACGAUCUGAAAUAUUGUUUAAUGUUGUGUUGAGUAAAUUAAUUUGACCACCAAUCGCAUAGAUUGAUCCAAACAUAUAUGUGUCAAUUGCUAAGUACAUGUUAGUUGCAGCAAUAAGUACAACUGCAUGUACAAUAAUUAUUCCUGUAAAUAUCUGAUAAUUAUUUACUGUGAAUGGAAUCCAGCAACUCAAAGGAUAACUCUUGGGAUCAUUGAAAUAAGCGCUGUCUGAUCGACCACUGUAGAAGUAUAAUAAAAUUGAACAAAACCUAUUUAUUGGCCGUAAAUGAUUUCUUGUAAAUUGUUGAGCUUCCGAACCAUAAGAUACCAAUCCUUGAGUUUGUAUUUGAACAAGUUGCGUAUCAAAAACAAUAAACUCAUCACUAAAUUUUACCAUACAAUACCAUUUAUACA